rnacentral:rRNA from 1 species
CCUACGGGUGGCUGCAGUCGAGAAUCAUUCACAAUGGGGGAAACCCUGAUGGUGCGACGCCGCGUGGGGGAAUGAAGGUCUGCGGAUUGUAAACCCCUGUCAUGUGGGAGCAAAUUAAAAAGAGAGUACCACAAGAGGAAGAGACGGCUAACGCUGGGCCAGCAGCCGCGGUAAUACAGAGGUCUCAAGCGUUGUUCGGAACCACGGGGCGUAACGCGUGCGUAGGCUGUUGCGUAAGGCGUGUGUGAAAGGCGCGGGCUCAACCCGCGGCCUGCACCUGCUACUGCGAGACUAGAGUACUGUAGGGGGAACCGGAAUUCUCGGUGUAGCCGU